rnacentral:lncRNA from 1 species
GAUACUUAAGCAACAAGGUAUAUUACUCAGAAACAUGCAUGAUUGAGGGAAUGUCAAUGGCAUCCCAAUCUCUCGCAAAGCCUCCUGGUGUAACAAAUACAGGCCUCGGGCCAAAUCCAGUUGCUUCUUCUGUGAUUGCGUUGACAAACCCAGCACUACAGAAUGCCCCGGUGGAAACUCCUGAAGUUGGGGAAAAGCCAAGACCUUCCUUAUGCUUGUUCUCACGAAGCUGUAUUAACUUGCCCCAGCCGGCAGCUUGACCCUCUUGGACGGC